GUUUUAUUCAUUUUUUAUGAUAUUUGACACAGGGAACUAGUUGGAAGAUUGCAAUAACUUGGCAUAUGAAUCAUUGUGAUAGCAACUGUAGGAAUGGAAAUAGGAGGGUUCAGGGAGGAUUUUAUCUCAAAAAAAGAUGGAUGUUUUGCAUUUUCCAAAAAUGUGAGACCAUAUUCUUCAAGAGCAUUAAAAAUUACACAUAAAAGGUUCUCUCCAUGCACUUCGAUAGGAUGCACCAUUUCCCGAGAUAAUCGACUAAAUGGGUUUCAGAAUUGCCUUACCUGCUACUUCUCUGCACAACUAAUUGCCUUACAAAGAAGCUGAUAUGCGACAA
rnacentral:lncRNA from 1 species